rnacentral:rRNA from 1 species
GACGAACGCUGGCGGCGUGCUUAACACAUGCAAGUCGAACGUGAUUUUUGUGGAAAGCCCUUCGGGGACGGAAAUGAAAUGAAAGUGGCGAACGGGUGAGUAACACGUGAGCAACCUACCUUACACAGGGGGAUAGCCGUUGGAAACGACGAUUAAUACCGCAUGAGACCACAAAGCCACAUGGCUUAGGGGUAAAAGAUUUAUCGGUGUAAGAUGGGCUCGCGUCUGAUUAGCUAGUUGGAAGGGUAAAGGCCUACCAAGGCAACGAUCAGUAGCCGGUCUGAGAGGAUGAACGGCCACAUUGGAACUGAGACACGGUCCAAACUCCUACGGGAGGCAGCAGUGGGGAAUAUUGCACAAUGGGGGGAACCCUGAUGCAGCGACGCCGCGUGAGCGAAGAAGGUUUUCGAAUCGUAAAGCUCUGUCCUAUGAGAAGAUAAU